rnacentral:rRNA from 1 species
AGUGAACGCUGGCGGUAGGCCUAACACAUGCAAGUCGAACGGCAGCACAGUAAGAGCUUGCUCUUACGGGUGGCGAGUGGCGGACGGGUGAGGAAUACAUCGGAAUCUACUUUUUCGUGGGGGAUAACGUAGGGAAACUUACGCUAAUACCGCAUACGACCUACGGGUGAAAGCAGGGGAUCUUCGGACCUUGCGCGAAUGAAUGAGCCGAUGUCGGAUUAGCUAGUUGGGGGGGUAAAGGCCCACCAAGGCGACGAUCCGUAGCUGGUCUGAGAGGAUGAUCAGCCACACUGGAACGGGGACACGGUCCAGACUCCUGCGGGAGGCAGCAGUGGGGAAUAUUGGACAAUGGGCGCAAGCCUGAUCCAGCCAUACCGCGUGGGUGAAGAAGGCCUUCGGGUUGUAAAGCCCUUUUGUUGGGAAAGAAAAGCAGCAGGUUAAUACCCCGCUGUUCUGACGGUACCCAAAGAAUAAGCACCGGCUAACUUCGUG